rnacentral:lncRNA from 1 species
AGAAGACGCUUCUGCUGCAGGUUUAAAAUCCUCAGAUGAGAAUCGCCUAUCAUUAAGAGGACUCAGCAUGGCAGAAGACAGCAAACCUCAGCUGCUGUUCCUGGGACAGAAGUCUACGGAGCGUCUGCUGGAGGUGUACGUGAAGCGGAGUCUGAGUCUGAACGACACGGCCGGCCGCAGACCACGCAGACGCAAACACAAAUGGGUCAUCCUACACGAAAAUGGCACUCGCCUCCAAAAGGCCUCCAGUGACAGCUCAGCCUACCGCUUGGCUCGGGAAACAGAAAAUCUGAUCCUCCCGGUGAGAAGGAAGAAGCCUUCACUCCUGCUGAGGUUCUUUGGCCUUUUCUUCAAACGGAGAAAUGAAGCACAGAGCCAUACUGGUUCACACACGCCAGUCAACGGCAGUGCCAGAAACCAAACCGCCCUCAAAAAGCACUCUUUCCAUAAAUGCGACCUGGAGAAAUCCAAUUCUGUCAGGAGUACAGUCACUGUUGCUGAUGUGGUGCGUGUGUCAGAUGAACUUGUUGAUGUGGAGCCGUCGAAGGACUACUAUGAGAAAGUGUCAGAGGAGCUGGAACGCAUAGUCAAGGAGAGGAAAGAAGGCCCGGUUGAAGUCAGGCGUCGCUCUGCUGCAGUAGCAGCAGGAGUCCAGGGACCUCCCACUGUAGCUUCAACCCCAAAUGAUGACAUUGAGCGGAUGAUCAGUCUGCUAAAGAGCCAUGGAGAUAACAUUAAUAUGAAGAUUAAGAGGAACAGCAGCGUGAGUUCUUUUUUCCAGAAACUCACAUACAGCACCUUCCAGCAGCUUGCCGACCGCUACGUGUCUGAGUUUCCCACGGUUCUGCCUGAGACUGCGCCCACGCCCCCCGAGCUGGUCAAACUCGCGUUCACUUUGGAUUUUACCGCCAAAGUGGCUGGGCUGUCCAACCAGGCGGUCAGUCGGAUAAUGGGCUUUGGAAACCAGUACAUCCAGGACCGAUUCACCCAGAUGACCAGCAUCCACAAGCAGGAGUCUCGUGAGUUGGAGGCCCAGAGUGUUGUUGACCCAGACUAACCAAAGUGAAAUGCUGUUCCCGUGGACAAUGUUGUGCAAUAUUAACCCCACCUGGGAGGUCUUACCUAAUAUUUAGGUGGACUUUUUAGUAUUAAGGGUUUGUAAACCUACUGUGAGAGAAUUCAACUUUUUAAUAAUUAUUUUUCUAAGGAAGAAAAAUGUUUUUCAACCUUGUGUGACAUUCAGAGAUUCAGCUUGACUUUUAUUGAGAUCAUUGUGUUUACAUAUAAAUAUAUUAAGGAUGUUCAUUAUAAAAUGGAGACAGAAGUACAGAAACACAGUAAACUGUUUUUAUACAUUUAUUAUGCAUAUCAAUAAUUAUUGAGAAGGCAGCUAAUAAAAGCAGUUCCACAGCCA